ACGGGAGGCAGCAGUGAGGAAUAUUGGUCAAUGGGCGAGAGCCUGAACCAGCCAAGUCGCGUGAAGGAUGAAGGUUCUAUGGAUUGUAAACUUCUUUUGUUCGAGGGUAAAGUGAGUCACGUGUGAUUUAUUGCAAGUAUCGAACGAAUAAGCAUCGGCUAACUCCGUGCCAGCAGCCGCGGUAAUACGGAGGAUGCGAGCGUUAUCCGGAUUUAUUGGGUUUAAAGGGUGCGUAGGCGGGCUGUUAAGUCAGCGGUGAAACCCCCGGGCUCAACCCGGGGACUGCCAUUGAAACUGGCGGCCUUGAGUACGUUGGGAGUGCGCGGAAUGUGUGGUGUAGCGGUGAAAUGCAUAGAUAUCACACAGAACACCGAUCGCGUAGGCAGCGCACUACGCCGCAACUGACGCUGAGGCACGAAGGCGCGGGGAUCGAACAGGAUUAGAUACCCUGGUA
rnacentral:rRNA from 1 species